AGCAGCCGCGGUAAUUCCAGCUCCAAUAGCGUAUAUUAAAGUUGUUGCAGUUAAAAAGCUCGUAGUUGAAUUUCGGGAUUGACACAUCGGUCGUGCCUUAAGGGGUAUGAACUGGUGUAGUCAAUUUCUCACCUUCUGGAGAACCACGAUGCCCUUAAUUGGGUGUCGCGGGGAACCAGGACCUUUACUUUGAAAAAAUUAGAGUGUUUAAAGCAGGCAUUUUGCUUGAAUACAUUAGCAUGGAAUAAUAAAAUAGGACGGCAUGAUUCUAUUUUGUUGGUUUCUAGGAUCACCGUAAUGAUUAAUAGGGAUAGUUGGGGGCAUUAGUAUUCAAUUGUCAGAGGUGAAAUUCUUGGAUUUAUUGAAGACUAACUACUGCGAAAGCAUUUGCCAAGGAUGUUUUCAUUAAUCAAGAACGAAAGUUAGGGGAUCGAAGACGAUCAGAUACCGUCGUAGUCUUAACCAUAAACUAUGCCGACUAGGAAUCAGACGAUGUUAAUUUUUAAUGACUCGUUU
rnacentral:rRNA from 1 species